GCUGGGUGCAGUGGCCCACGCCUGUAAUCCCAGGGGCUCCGGAGGCUGAAACAGGAGGAUGGUGAGUUCAAAGCCAGCCUCAGCAAUGGUGAGGCACUUGGCAACUCAGUGAGAUUCUGUCUCUA
rnacentral:sRNA from 1 species